GGGCCCGCACAAGCGGUGGAGCAUGUGGUUUAAUUCGAUGCAACGCGAGGAACCUUACCAGGUCUUAAAUGCAUAACGAACGAUUGGGAAACCAAUCUUUCUUCGGACGGAAUGCAAGGUGCUGCAUGGUUGUCGUCAGCUCGUGCCGUGAGGUGUCAGGUUAAGUCCUAUAACGAGCGCAACCCCUAUCUUUAGUUGCCAGCGAUUCGGUCGGGGACUCUAAAGAAACUGCCGGCGUAAGCCGCGAGGAAGGUGGGGAUGACGUCAAAUCAUCACGGCCCUUACAUCUUGGGCUACACACGUGCUACAAUGGCGAGGACAACGAGAAGCAAACCGGCGACGGUGAGCA
rnacentral:rRNA from 1 species